GUGUACCGUCAGACUGCACAUGAUAAGAAAACAUGUUUUUUGGUCAGGAUUAAGAUCCACUGUGAGCGCAUGUAUGUCUCAGGAGACGCUCCAUUGGGAUAGUGAAACUGUAUGUGGGACCUGCUGCUAAACUCAGACGAGCUUAGACUUAAUGAACUUUCCAAAAAGACCUCACCUGUGCUCUCAGGAGCAACUGCAGCAACAGCACCAGCAGAAGCAGCAGGCGUUCGGAGGAGCAUUGAGCCAGCCCAGGGUUUGCGUGUUCACCUUUUCCGACAUCUGUGCUUUGGGGCAAGACAAGACCAUCAAAGGGACAUUGAAGACUGAAGAAAUCUUCAGAGGGUCAUGAAGUGGCCCGUAAGCACAGGAUUAUCCGCACCAAAAUAAGUGUUUUGACAAACAGAUCGAAGCUUCCCGUAGCACUGAUGUUGAUGCCCAGAUAACAGUAGCUGGUGCUAUGCAGUAGGACUUGGCCAUUGUAAGUGAACUGGUGUUUGUUUCCCUGGAACACCAUUAUUCUGGUUUUGUCCAGAUUGACUUUCAGGGCUCAUUCAUGACAGUACUGUUCCAGCAGGGACGGGCUUUGCUGGAGACCCUCGGGUGUGUGGACAGCAGGACCAGAUCAUCCUCAUAUAUAGGACGGGGACAGUAGAGCGCUCCAGCGAUGAUGCCAGAUCAUUUUGGUAGGUUAGAGUCGGACGCAUACUGCAUUCAUGUCUAACUACACAUUCCAGCUGGAAAAACUUUGUUUGGUAUUGAUUUUCACUGCACAUUUAAUGUUGGUGUACAGGGGUUGUAUCAAAAGCUUUCUCGCCAAUGCCAAAUUUGUACGAGUUUUUUUCAGUAAACUGCCAUGCUGUUGAAUGCUUUUUUAAAUCUACAAAACAUUUUCCUUUAUUUGUUAUUGAUGUUUUUGUUAAUUAGAGUGUGAAGAGAAGAGAUGCGGUCGGAUGUGCGUUGUUUUGGUAAAAAUCCAAUUUGUGCUUCAUUUUCAAUGUUCUGUGUAAUUUAAUAUUGUGGUCUAAUGUUUCCUAUACAGAAAGCCUUCACACUUAUUACAGAUGAGAUGAACAACGUCCUGUGUGCUUUUAUUAUUUUGUGCAAGAAACAUUAAAUACAUCAAAACAAGAAACAGCUAUGCCAGAAACAGUAACUGAGUUGCAAGCAGCUGCAUGAUUUAGUCCAAAUGAAAGCCCUUUUCACACAGAGAUUACAGAAAAUACACAAAAAUGCGUCUUAAGUUUGCUAUCCAGAGAAAGCAUGUGCAUUUUAGUUUAUGACAAGAUCAUAAGGAGGGUGUGAUGCGCUGUUCUGUCAUGCUCGUGAAUUAUUUAAGUUUCAGCGUGGAUAGUGACCUCUGCUUUAGUUCAGUUGGCCAACAUUUCAUGUUGAUCUGCGUUUAAAUCUCUGCGUCAAAGAGCUGAACCAUAACUUCUGGUGCGAUGACACGUCCACACGGGCAAACUCCUUACAUCAUUGAAUGCACGCACAUAUUCCAGAAAAUCAUUAGCAAUGUGAUCAAAAGAUCCCAUAUAAAUCCCCUACGCCUCUCUGCCAAUUUUACGGAAAUUUUCUGUGACCAAAGUGCUGUGUGAAUAGGGUUUAAGCUACAAAUCAGCAAGGACUAGUUAGUCUGGGACCAAUUGUUGGUUAUUGAUAAAUUUACCAUAAAUUAAAUAUAAUUGAAUAACUUGAUAAAAAUAAACUACACUCAAAAAAAUUAACUUUCACGGUUGCCAAUUUUACUUAGUUCUUUCAUGUUGUGAUAACUUAAAAAAUCUAUUUAACAAUGUGAACUAAAUUUAAUCUAGUUCAUUCAACAAAAAAAUGUGUCUUGUCAGCUUUACUUAAAAAUGAUUUGUUCAGCCAACAUAACAUUGUUGCAUUAAAGUAACAGAUUAAUAAAACCAAUACAGACUUGCAUCUCAUUGGCUGAGGAUUUUGCAGUGUAUUAUGGGUAAUUGUUUUCUGGCACCCUCUUGCAGAAGGGUAGCACCAUUAGAUGAGUAAUAAAAUAUGAAUCAAUGAACUUGUACUAAUAUAUUUUAGAACAAAACAAACAAACAAAUGGUUUGAAAUGUUACAUUGCAUUUCAAAUAUGUCUGUUAAAUGUUUGAUAAACUGUAAUAAAAAAAGAAGUGGACUUAAAUGCUAAUCAAAAGGGGUUGGCGUUUAUAAAAAGGACAUUAUUCAAAUUUUGUGUCAUCUUUAAUUACAUUUUUCAUGUACAGUUAACUACAUUUUUAUUUGUUGACUCUGCUAAGGUUUGUUAAGUUUACUUAAACUUCUUUUGUAAAAUGAACUAAAUUAUUGUUUGUUGAGAUUACUUAAUCAACUUGUGUGGAACCUGUUGACAUAAUAUUUUUAAUUAAACCUAACAUUUCAUUUUUUUAGUGUAUUGAAUUUGCUACAUUUUUUAGGUAAGUGGUUGCACGCAAUUAAAUUAUAUUAAUUUAGAUAUAUGUAUUUAGUUAAACUUACUCAAUUGUUUUUAGUUACCUUAGCACAAUCAAUUGUAACUGGAAAUCCUCGCCGAGCUUUAGCAAUAUUGCUUUAAUACAACACAAAUUAUUCAUGUAGUCCAAACUUAAAUCAGUCAAGUUCACAUCGAUUGAUUUAAAACACAUGUGAUAUGACUAGAUAUGACCUGAUUCUGUUAAUUAUAAUUCUGAUAAUGACGUUGUAUGCUAUAAAUUAUGGUUAUAUUUAAGAAGGUCAAGAGCUCUGACGUGAGUAAUCUCAAUGUCACAUAUAUUCAACACUUUUCAUUAACACAAACAGCCAUAAGCAAUCUUAAUCUGUCCACAAUGAAUGAACAUCUGUGAAUUAUUUAUCAUUUAAAUCUUUCUUCCAUGUGUAUAAAGCAAUCAAUACAUGCUUGACAUAAAAUGUAGGUAUAACCAGGAGCUAUUCUAAUGCAACAAUCUGCAUGCAUACA